UACGUAGGGCGCAAGCGUUGUCCGGAAUUAUUGGGCGUAAAGAGCUCGUAGGCGGUUUGUCGCGUCUGCUGUGAAAACCUAAGGCUCAACCUUGGGCUUGCAGUGGGUACGGGCAGACUAGAGUGCGGUAGGGGUGACUGGAAUUCCUGGUGUAGCGGUGGAAUGCGCAGAUAUCAGGAGGAACACCGAUGGCGAAGGCAGGUCACUGGGCCGCAACUGACGCUGAGGAGCGGAAAGCGUGGGGAGCGAACA
rnacentral:rRNA from 1 species